CAGCUCCUCCUUCGCGCUGGCACCGCCUCUCUUCCUGCGGCGGGUGCGACGCGAGUUUAGGCGCCGGCAGCGUGGAGAUGAUGGCGGGGUCUCCGGCGUCCCUGUCGGGACAGGACGUAGGAAAGGCAUAGAAGCUGAAAAGAAGGCAAUUUCUCUUCUUUCUAAAUUACGAAACGAAUUGCAAACAGAUAAACCAAUAAUCCCCUUUGUUGAGAAGUUUGUUGAUACUGACAUAUGGAAUCAGUACCUAGAAUAUCAACAGAGUCUUAUAAAUGAAAAUGAUGGGAAACCCAGGUGGUUUUACUCACCUUGGUUGUUUGUAGAGUGCUACAUGUAUCGUAGAAUUCAUGAAGCAAUUAUCCAAAGUCCGCCAAUCGAUGACUUUGAUGUAUUUAAAGAAUCAAAAGAGCAAAAUUUCUUUGAGUCACAGGAAUCUCUCAUUGCUUUGUGUACUCACCUACAAGAGUUGAGAACAACCAUCGAAGACCUAGAUGAAAAUCAGCUGAAAGAUGAAUUUUUCAAACUUCUUCAGAUUUCGCUGUGGGGCAAUAAAUGUGAUCUGUCUCUAUCGGGCGGGGAAACCAGUUCUCAGAGAACCAACAUAAUAAAUUCUGUGGAGGAACUGAAACCUUUCAUUUUAGUGAAUGACAUGGAACAUCUUUGGUCACUGCUUAACAACUGCAAAAAAACAAGAGAAAAAGCGUCUGUUACUAGAGUAGAUGUUGUUCUGGAUAAUUCUGGGUUUGAACUCGUUACGGAUUUAGUAUUAGCUGACUUUCUGUUGUGCUCUCAACUGGCUACCGAGAUCCAUUUUUAUGGAAAAACUAUUCCGUGGUUUGUUUCUGAUACUACUGUCCGUGAUUUUAACUGGUUAAUUGAACAAAUGAAAGGUUCUAAUCACAAGUGGAUGUCCAAGUGUGGGGCCGACUGGGAAAACUCUAUUAAAAUGGGCAGAUGGGUUUACCAUGAUCAUAUAUUUUGGACUCUUCCUCAUGAAUUCUGUGUAAUGUCUCAGGUUGCUCCUGACUUAUAUGCCGAACUACAAAAGGCACAUUUAAUUUUAUUCAAGGGUGAUUUGAACUAUAGGAAGCUGACAGGCGAUAGAAAGUGGGCAUGUACCAUUCCCUUUCGUCAGGCUCUGCGAGGGUUCCAUCCUGCCCCUCUCUGCAGUGUAAGGACAUUAAAGGCCGAGGUUCAGGUGGGGCUGCAGCCCGGGCAAGCUGAACAGCUCGCAGCCUCCGAGCCCAACUGGAUGACCACCGGGAAGUAUGGAAUAUUUCAGUUUGAUGGUCCGCUCUGACUUGCUUUAGGAUGUCUUAAGUUGUCUGGAAAAAUCUGACAGUCGCUUGGCAUCCCCAGAAAGGCAGUGUGCGAAUUGAGUCACGGGGCUGCUCUGCCUGGCUCUGGGAAGCCUGGCUUCUCGGUGCUCCCGUAUGGGCACUCUGGACGCUUCUCUCUUCGAACGUUUUGCCCCACGACAUUGUUUGGGAGAUAGACGGAGUGAGCUAGUUACAGAGAUUUACGUUUCUGUUGGCAUUUUAGUAACUUAUUUCAAGUUAAAUGCAUAAUUUCAAGUGGUACUAAUGAACUUAUUUUUAAUUGGGCAGAAAGUAAAAUAAUGCAUGAAUUCUGCUUUUAAAGUUCGUUAACAUUCUUUUAAUGCUAUGCUGCAUGGUAUUUACAAGCAUGGGAUUUUAUUUAACUUGUUUUGGCGCUCUAAAAAUAAGGGCUCUGGGAAGACAUUUUAAAUACGCUUUGAAAAGAGGCAUUUCUUACAGCUGUGACAUUUGAACAAUGGACGUAAAGAUUACUUACCUCAUAAGUUAGUUUUAAAUUUUGUUCUCCUUGAAUUUUAUUUCCUUUUAAAUACCCUGUUUUAUUUGCACGCAUUUGUAUUUUGAUUGACCUGCGGAAUGGACAGUAGGAAACCCAAGAUUGAACAGAAACAACUGGUAUUUGAAGAACCAUGGUACCUUUUUACGUUCUAUUUGCAAUGUCCAUGAUCAACUGAAAUGUAGUAUUUUAACACGUUAUUUAUUUAUUUUGAGAGAGAGGCAAAGAGAGAUGGAGAGAAGGAUUCCCAAGCAGGCUCCACACCAUCGGUGCAGAGCCCCAUGUGGAGCUCAAACUCAUGGAACCGUGAGAUCAUGACCUGAGCGGAAACCAAGAGUCAAACGCUUAACCAACUGAGCCGUGCAGGUGCCCCUUUAUCCUCUCAGGCCUCACUCCACUUCCAGUCCGGCCGGGUGCUCAGACUCCAGAUCGUCCCUCUCCUCCUCACCUCCACCCCCAUUCCUACCAGAGCCAAAUCUCAGGGGGUCCCCAACAGCCCAUCCUGAAGACCUCCUCGCCCUGCCUCCACCUCCUCCAAUGCGUCCCGCCUACUGUUGUACCGUUGUCUUCCUCUGGGUGCAACUUCCUAACAGUGCUCUUCCAAAACUUGAGCAGCAGAAGAGUUCCUAGACACCAUGGCCCAAAUUCAGCCUGGCAUUGAAUCUGGAAGAAGCAUUUCCAGGAGGUGUAUUAGGUCACACAGCUGGUAGCUUUCUGCCUCUGUUGUUGUUAUAAAGGAAAGCGGAAGUCUGUACCGAGGUAUGAUGGAUCAUAAUAUACUAUCCACGCAUGCAGUUUCGUGAGAAAUCUAGGCUGGAACUUGCUUUGUUCAUCCUUAUCUCCCUCCCUUGCUUAAUUAAACCGUCAUCAUGCCCAGAGUCCCCCCACCGCCAGCUUGCAUGUCCUACAGCAUUGUGCCAGCUGGUCCCAAAUUGUGGUCCUUUCCACAGUCCAGCUCAGGCCUCCCUCUAGACUCAGUCCUCCCUCUCAACCCUCAAAGGACACAUCAUCAGAUGUUGCCUUGAAGAGUCACUGGACUCAUGUCUUGACAUGCCAGAAAGUUCAAAGGCAUCCAGACAGGGGCCAGCCCAGCACUUUUCCUACUCCCACUUACAGGGAAGUGCAUUGCUGUUACUCAGAGAAAAAAAAUUUUUAACACUGAUUAAAAUGUUUUCAUUGUGUGUA